AGUGAACGCUGGCGGUAGGCCUAACACAUGCAAGUCGAACGGCAGCACAGUAAGAGCUUGCUCUUACGGGUGGCGAGUGGCGGACGGGUGAGGAAUACAUCGGAAUCUACUUUUUCGUGGGGGAUAACGUAGGGAAACUUACGCUAAUACCGCAUACGACCUACGGGUGAAAGCAGGGGAUCUUCGGACCUUGCGCGAUUGAAUGAGCCGAUGUCGGAUUAGCUAGUUGGCGGGGUAAAGGCCCACCAAGGCGACGAUCCGUAGCUGGUCUGAGAGGAUGAUCAGCCACACUGGAACUGAGACACGGUCCCGACUCCUACGGGAGGCAGCAGUGGGGAAUAUUUGACAAUGGGCGCAAGCCUGAUCCAGCCAUACCGCGUGGGUGAAGAAGGCCUUCGGGUUGUAAAGCCCUUUUGUUGGGAAAGAAAAGCAGCAGGUUAAUACCCCGCUGUUCUGACGGUACCCAAAGAAUAAGCACCGGCUAACUUCGUG
rnacentral:rRNA from 1 species